CAGGCCCAGGAUCCCACGUGACCGCACUCAGUGCUCACGACACAACACAGACAACUCACCAUGGAGUCUGUGCUCAGAUGGGUUUUCCUUGUCGCUAUUUUAAAAGGUGUCCAGGGUGAGGUGCAGCUGGUGGAGUCUGGAGGAGACCUGGUGAAACCUGGGGGGUCCCUGAGACUCUCCUGUGUGGCCUCUGGAUUCACCUUCAGUAGCUAUCCUAUGAGCUGGAUCCGCCAGGCUCCAGGGAAGGGGCUGCAGUGGGUCACACGGAUUAGCAGUAGUGGAAGUAGCACAAGCUACGCAGAUGCUGUGAAGGGACGAUUCACCAUCUCCAGAGACAACGCCAAGAACACGCUGUAUCUGCAGAUGAACAGCCUGAGAGCUGAGGACACGGCCGUGUAUUACUGUGCAAGUGACACAGUGAGUCAACCUAAGUGUGAGCCCCCUACACAAACAUUCCUGUAG